GGCGCAGAUCCCGGUCGGCAGCAACACCAGACUGGGGAGGCCGCGCUCCUCCCUCAGCCGUCCCAGCACGGUGCCGCCGCGGGGAGAGCGCCGCGCCGCGGCCGCUGGCCGGACGGGACGGGACGGGACGAGACGAGACAAGAUGGCGGCGGGCCCGGCGGCGAGGUUGAGGAGCAGCAGAAGAGCAGCGUGUGCCCUGUUUGCAGUGCUGAAGCAACACCGAGACGCUUCGGCACAGACGGAUGAGAGUGGAUAGUGCCCUGCCAUGCUGUAGGGCCGUACUGAGAUCAGUGCUAGCUGGGCCACAGAAACCGGUACGCAGGCAGCAUCAAGAGAUAAUGGGAUUUGUCACACCAACGCUAAACUGAGACUAAGCUUCAACCCUUUAUAUGGAGCUGUUUGUUGAAAGAGGAAGCUGCGGUGCUAAAAGCAGUCAGUGCUUGACUGCAUGAGGCCAUGCCACUCACAGAGAUGAACGAUGUCUUACUUCAAAGACUUUAUGAAAGGCAAACUUAGUUAAAUCCUUUCAAGUUUCUUCUUUGCAAGGCAACAAUAAGCAGUGACUUUUCUUA